ACUUUUGUCCAACUUUGUAAAACAAGUCAAGAGAUGUAGAAUAACUGGGAGUUCUGUGAGGAUGUGAAGUGAAACACCAAUACUUUUGACGUUAUUUUACUUAUUCUAUGAGGUGAAGAUGUGAUUAUGGCCCCAUUUUUGGCCUUACACUCGCUUGGAGACAAGUUGUGCGAUCCUGGUGGAAAAAAUUGUCAAUGAGCAGU
rnacentral:ncRNA from 1 species